GCAGGAAGGGGUGGGUGGUGCCUCCGCUUGUUCUCCCUCCACAACGAUGUGCUCUCCUACUCCAAGAUCGUCCGUCAAGUCCUACCCACCAUACCCUCAGGAAGCCGAGUUUGCCUCAUUGGAAAUUCCAGUUCCAUAUUCUCCUCCUCCUAUUCUCGUGGCGAAUGUGGCUGCCAGCAGUCCCGGAUGCCUAUAUGACUAGUCCAACUCGAGAGGUCGAGAAGUUCUACUAGCAGUGCAAUCCAGGUAUUGAAUGCUGCCCAGAUUAGUCUCUAGCAGUACCAGUUAAUGAUAGAUCAUAUUAUGCCAUUAGGCCGGUCUCACAUUGUAUCACAAUAAGGUGGUAAAUUGGAAGCAUAAACUCAAGCAUCAGGUUGCAAAUAAGCAUUUUCUCCUUCCAUAUGAGUCUUAAGCAAAUAUUUUUUCAUUAAAAUCUAGUGUGAACUUAAUUCCCACCCGUCAAAAUUGUAGAUAAAACAGAUGGAUGAAAAACAAUAUGCAACACUGUACCUCCAGUUGGCUCAUGUUAGUUUUGAUUCUCUUAUAUCAAAAUACAUUGAGAAGUUUGCUAGCCUUUUGCUCAUUUCAAACGUUGCAACGUUUUUUAGAAUUGAGUAACUAUGAUAUCCCUUGUUUGCUAAUACUUUACUAAUUGGUAAAAUCAUUUUGUGACUUUUUAAAAGCAAGCUAGCUUGGCUUCAUUGAUUCUAUUUUGAGUGAGUUGAACUGUGGAACCAUAUUGGUAGUAUAAGUAUUUGUUUGAUCUUUUGUAUGCUGUUGCACAAUUGAUUCUAAAUGAUGACACAUAAUCUAUCACUUGUAAGGUAUUUGAUCUUUAUAUAAUUUGCAUACAAUAUGAGAGCGCAGUUUUAGCCAGCUCUAUAGUCAUAUAACGUUAUCAAGCUAAAUUUAGCUUAUACCUAAAAUUUUCAUACUGAACAUACUUAUUAAGAUUUAUUCUCAGUGAUUGGUCACUAAUAUUUUUUCAUGCAUAUGGAAACUAGGUUAUAUAACUUCAACUAUGAAUUUAAACUCUCUCAAAAAUUGUAUUUGUCUCCAUUACACAUCCUUCUAAUAGCUAGAUAAGCCUACCCUUUGUUAUCAUUGUUGAUGAAAAUGCAUAUUAUAAACCUUCAUGUUGGGCAUGAUAUGAAUCAUAUCAGGCCCAAAGAUUGAUUAUUAUCUAUUGUCACUGUUUUUGUUGUAUGUGCAUCUAUUUGUGCAAUCACAAGGCUAGUGGGAUUUGAUGCAACCUUAUCAAUUUUGGUCUAAACAUCACGAAAUUACUGUUGGACACAACAACAUAUUACUUUGUCAUGACUGUAGAGUUAGUUGGUUUUGUAGUUUAUAGUUAUACAAAAGAAAGGAUUUAGUUGAUUCUCAAUAAAGGUUGAUUCUUUGCCCUCCAAAGAUAAUGAUCAAUAAAUAUUACAAAGGUUGCAUAGAAAUGAGGCAUUCUAAUACAGGCUAAAUUGCUUAGUUCUCUAUCAACUUAUGAUUUCAGGGACUCAGUCAAUCCUUUUGUGGAGCAAGCUGUGCAAUAUGUUAUACCUACAUCUAAGGUAAUAACUCUUUGAAAUAGAAAAUGAUAAAUUACAAAAACUACUUCUACAAGGUCUUGAUAUUACAAUCUUAGGAAGCAAUGAUUUCUAUUCUUACAUAAAAGGUGACUCUCAUCUUUCUUUUUUGGAGAAAUUAUUUUCUCCUGGAUUGUUUGCCCUUAGCACCUGGUGGAUCAGUUUUUUAUAGCUUACUUUAUUUUUUUCACACUUUUUUAUAUUAUCAUACUUGCAUUUAUUUUUUUUAAUUAAUCAAUUUAUAUUCACAUCUUUGAUUUAUCUUCUAUUGUAUUUUGAUCAUAAAUGUCAGUUUACAUAGUUAAAGUUAUAUAUGGAUAAAUUAUUUGCAAAUAUUAUCUUUAGAUUGAAUCGCAUGGCUUACCUUUGACUCGAGAUGCAUUGGCUUCACUUCCUUCUUUUUCUUCAAUAACAUUUAACCGAGUGGCUUCUAAUGGAACACUUCCUAGAGUGGAAUGCAAACCUGAGGUUGCAAAAACAAGACUUGGCUCAUUAGCGGCAAUGACCACAUCAGUCGUUGCAGCACUCCUUCAUUACCUUAGAGUUGUUAUUCUUCCAUUUUCAAGCAGAAGCCAGUUAGACGACAAAAUCUUUGAUUCAGAUCUUGAUUUAGUACACAUUGUUGCCCACAGUGCUCAUUGUUUAGCUCAAGGAAAAAUUGGCAGUGGCUUUGAUGUCAGUGCUACUGUCUAUGGCAAUCACAUUACAUCAGAUUUUUGCCUGCUCUUUUGAUGCCUACCCAGGUUUCUUCUCCUCAUUUACCAUUAUGUGUAUAGUCACAAAUAUUAAUUUUCUAAUUUUAUAUGAUUUUUCAUCAAUUUUUACCUUUGCAAUUUAAACCAUGUAUUCUACUAGUGCAAAUGCCUUUUUCAAUAUGUCAGUUUUGUUAUAAUAAUUCCAAGAUUUGAUUUGGCACUGAACUUGUUUUUUCCAUCAAUGCACUUGCAUUGAAUGUUGACUUUGAUUUUAGGAUUACUUUUACUCUACUAAAGGUGCAUUUUAAGGGGAAGAGUUAGGGGAAGCCUUCCAGUCAUUCCACAUUGGCCAAAAGCUAGGGGAAGAGCUCGAUGUCAAAUUCGAUAGGGGAGGGAAUCAUCUUGCUGCACUAACCACUUCAAGGUAUGGGAUCAGCAAGAUGGAGUUGCUAAAAGCUUGCAUUUCAAGGGAAUGGCUGCUGAUAAAGCACAACUCAUUUGUAUAUAUCUUCAAAGUAGUCUAGGUGAGUGAAAGCAAACAAUUCAACUAAUUCGAUAUCUUGAUAUAACAGUUGAUACUUUUGUAGCUUAUAAUUCUCAGAGCCAUUGCAAUGAGUCUUCCUUAGGGCAAAGAUACAUCAUGAUUAAGUGGAGGAUGAGUCACCAUGUUUCUUAGAUUGGUGACUCAUCUGUUAAUGGCUUUGCUGAA